ACUCAAAGGAAUUGACGGGGGCUCACACAAGCGGUGGAGCAUGUGGAUUAAUUCGAAGCAACGCGAAGAACCUUACCUGGGUUUGAAAUGCUGGGAUGCCGUCCUGGAAACAGGAGCCGGCUGCCUUCGGGUGAAAUCAGCACAGGUGCUGCAUGGCUGUCGUCAGCUCGUGCUGUGAAGUGUCGGGUUAAGUCCUACAACGAGCGAAACCCCUAUCGUUAGUUACCAGCGGGUCAUGCCGGGGACUCUAACGAGACUGCCGGCGUCAAGCCGGAGGAAGGUGGGGACGACGUCAAGUCAUCAUGGCCUUUAUGCCCAGGGUUUCUCACGUGCUACAAUGGGCGAUACAGAGCGACGCGAGACCGUGAGGUGGAGCAAAUCGCAGAAAAUCGCCCUCAGUUCGGAUUGGAGUCUGCAACCCGACUCCAUGAAGCUGGAAUCGCUAGUAAUCGCGCAUCAGCCACGGCGCGGUGAAUGUGUUCCUGAGCCUUGUACACACCGCCCGU
rnacentral:rRNA from 1 species